AUUGAACGCUGGCGGCAGGCCUAACACAUGCAAGUCGAACGGUAACAGGAAGCAGCUUGCUGCUUCGCUGACGAGUGGCGGACGGGUGAGUCAUGUCUGGGAAACUGCCUGAUGGAGGGGGAUAACUACUGGAAACGGUAGCUAAUACCGCAUAACGUCGCAAGACCAAAGAGGGGGACCUUCGGGCCUCUUGCCAUCGGAUGUGCCCAGAUGGGAUUAGCUAGUAGGUGGGGUAACGGCUCACCUAGGCGACGAUCCCUAGCUGGUCUGAGAGGAUGACCAGCAACACUGGAACUGAGACACGGUCCAGACUCCUACGGGAGGCAGCAGUGGGGAAUAUUGCACAAUAGGCGCAAGCCUGAUGCAGCCAUGCCGCGUGUAUGAAGAAGGCCUUCGGGUUGUAAAGUACUUUCAGCGGGGAGGAAGGGAGUAAAGUUAAUACCUUUGCUCAUUGACGUUACCCGCAGAAGAAGCACCGGCUAACUCCGUG
rnacentral:rRNA from 1 species